GCUAAAAACUCAGCUCUUCUAUAUCGAAUGCCCAUACCUCUUAACUAUUACUAAAUAAAACAUUUUAUCCAUUUAGUAACGGCGAUUAAAAAAUGUCUAGAAGCUAUAGAAACCAGUACCGCAAGGGAAAAGUGAAAUAAAAAUGAAAUAUUGUAAAGCAUAACAUAGCAGAGAUUAUCCCUCGUACCUUUUGCAUCAUGGUCUAACUAGUCUGACCAAGCACAAUGCAUUUUUAGUUUGACACCCCGAAACUAGGUGAGCUACUUAAGAACAGCCUUCAGGGCCAACCCGUCUCUGUUGCAAAAGAGUGGGAAGAUUCUUUAGUAGAGGUGACAGACCUAUCGAACCUAGAGAUAGCUGGUUAUUCAAGAAAAGGAUUUUAGUCCUACCUAAGGUUCCACGUAUACUGUAAUACACAACAAACCUUUAGAGCUAUUCAAAUAAGGUACAGCCUAUUUGAUACAGGAUACAACCUCAUUUAAUGGGUAAUUAACCUAAUAAUCAACCAAGUGGGCCUAAAAGCAGCCACCUUAAAAAAGCGUUAAAGCUUCAUUGUAAAAACCAAAAAUUCCACCAAUAAAUUACAACCCUUUAUGUCGUAUUGAAUGACUUCAUACCCCUAUGAAGAACUAUAUGUUAGAACUAGUAACAAGAAGACAGCCCUUCUCCAAAAUGUAAGCUUGCGCCAUAAUGAACUAAUCACUGGCACUUAAAGUCUUUACCAAUAGCAACUCUUUUCUAGAAAACCCUAUUAAUUAAUACGUCAACCUUACACAAGCACAUCUCUGGAAAGAUUAAAAGAAUAGGAAGGAACUCGGCAAACUCUAACCCCGCCUGUUUACCAAAAACAUCGCCUUCUGGUACACAUAGAAGGUCCAGCCUGCCCAGUGACUAAGUUAAACGGCCGCGGUACCCUAACCGUGCAAAGGUAGCGCAAUCACUUGUUCUUUAAAUGAGGACUAGUAUGAACGGCAUCACGAGGGUUAUACUGUCUCCCUAUUCCAAUCAGUGAAACUGAUCUUCCCGUGAAGAAGCGGGAAUAAAUAUAUAAGACGAGAAGACCCCAUGGAGCUUUAAACUCAGUACCACCUGCUAUUUUCAAAUCCUAUUAAUCACGCAGACAUGGUAACUAGUUUUCGGUUGGGGUGACCGCGGAGCAAAACAAAACCUCCACAACGAAAGGAACUAACAUCCUAAUCCAAGAGCAACAUCUCUAAGAAUUAAAAAAUUAACUUAAUUGAUCCAAUUACUUGAUCAACGAACCAAGUUACCCUGGGGAUAACAGCGCAAUCCAUUUAAAGAGCUCUUAUCGACAAAUGGGUUUACGACCUCGAUGUUGGAUCAGGGUAUCCCAGUGGCGCA
rnacentral:rRNA from 1 species